rnacentral:rRNA from 1 species
UACGAAGGGUCCAAGCGUUAUCCGGAUUUAUUGGGUUUAAAGGGUGCGUAGGCGGCUUAUUAAGUCAGUGGUGAAAGACUUCAGCUUAACUGAAGAACUGCCAUUGAUACUGAUGAGCUUGAAUGUAGUUGAGGUGGGCGGAAUGUGUCUUGUAGCGGUGAAAUGCUUAGAUAUGACACAGAACACCGAUUGCGAAGGCAGCUCGCUACACGAAUAUUGACUCUGAGGCACGAAAGCGUGGGGAUCAAACAGG